rnacentral:rRNA from 1 species
GUAGUCCACGCCGUAAACGAUGUCUACUAGUCGUUGGGUCCCUUGAGGACUUAGUGACGCAGCUAACGCAAUAAGUAGACCGCCUGGGGAGUACGGCCGCAAGGUUAAAACUCAAAUGAAUUGACGGGGGCCCGCACAAGCGGUGGAGCAUGUGGUUUAAUUCGAUGCAACGCGAAGAACCUUACCUGGUCUUGACAUAUCUAGAAUCCUGCAGAGAUGCGGGAGUGCCUUCGGGAAUUAGAAUACAGGUGCUGCAUGGCUGUCGUCAGCUCGUGUCGUGAGAUGUUGGGUUAAGUCCCGCAACGAGCGCAACCCUUGUCCUUAGUUACCAGCGGGUUAAGCCGGGAACU